UCAAUAAGCGGAGGAAAAGAAACUAACAAGGAUUCCCCUAGUAACGGCGAGUGAAGAGGGAAGAGCCCAAGAUUGAAAGCUGGCGUCUUCGGCGUCCGCAUUGUAAUCUCAAGAAGUGUUUUCCGCUUCGGACCAUGCCUAAGUCCCUUGGAAAAGGGCAUCAUAGAGGGUGAUAAUCCCGUACAUGGCAUGGAGCGCCCGAAGCUUUGUGAUACGCUUUCUACGAGUCGAGUUGUUUGGGAAUGCAGCUCAAAAUGGGUGGUAAAUGCCAUCUAAGGCUAAAUAUUGGGGAGAGACCGAUAGCGAACAAGUACAGUGAUGGAAAGAUGAAAAGAACUUUGAAAAGAGAGUUAAACAGUACGUGAAAUUGCCAAAAGGGAAGGGUAGGAGGUCAGAGAUGCGUCUUGGGAUUCAGCCUUGCUUUUUCGCUUGGUGUUUUUCCCAAGUUGCAGGCCAACGUCGGUUUUGGGCACUGGAGAAGGGUGGGAGGAACGUGGCACCUCUCGGGGUGUGUUAUAGCCUCCUACUGGAUACAGCGACCGAGACCGAGGACAGCAGCGUACUCGCAAGAGCGGGCCUUCGGGCACCUUUACGCUUAGGGCGUUGGCAUAAUGGCCCUCUACCACCCGUCUUGAAACAC
rnacentral:rRNA from 1 species